UGGAUCCAGACUUUGAUUAUGGCUCAGGAUGAACGCUAGCUACAGGCUUAACACAUGCAAGUCGAGGGGAAACGACAUCGAAAGCUUGCUUUUGAUGGGCGUCGACCGGCGCACGGGUGAGUAACGCGUAUCCAACCUGCCCACCACUUGGGGAUAACCUUGCGAAAGUAAGACUAAUACCCAAUGACGUCUCUAGAAGACAUCUGAAAGAGAUUAAAGAUUUAUCGGUGAUGGAUGGGGAUGCGUCUGAUUAGCUUGUUGGCGGGGUAACGGCCCACCAAGGCUACGAUCAGUAGGGGUUCUGAGAGGAAGGUCCCCCACAUUGGAACUGAGACACGGUCCAAACUCCUACGGGAGGCAGCAGUGAGGAAUAUUGGUCAAUGGACGAGAGUCUGAACCAGCCAAGUAGCGUGCAGGAUGACGGCCCUAUGGGUUGUAAACUGCUUUUAUAAGGGAAUAAAGUGAGUCUCGUGAGACUUUUUGCAUGUACCUUAUGAAUAAGGACCGGCUAAUUCCGUGCCAGCAGCCGCGGUAAUACGGAAGGUCCGGGCGUUAUCCGGAUUUAUUGGGUUUAAAGGGAGCGUAGGCCGGAGAUUAAGCGUGUUGUGAAAUGUAGACGCUCAACGUCUGCACUGCAGCGCGAACUGGUUUCCUUGAGUACGCACAAAGUGGGCGGAAUUCGUGGUGUAGCGGUGAAAUGCUUAGAUAUCACGAAGAACUCCGAUUGCGAAGGCAGCUCACUGGAGCGCAACUGACGCUGAAGCUCGAAAGUGCGGGUAUCGAACAGGAUUAGAUACCCUGGUAGUCCGCACGGUAAACGAUGGAUGCCCGCUGUUGGUCUGAAUAGGUCAGCGGCCAAGCGAAAGCAUUAAGCAUCCCACCUGGGGAGUACGCCGGCAACGGUGCAACUCAAAGGAAUUGACGA
rnacentral:rRNA from 2 species